CUGCUGACAUCACAAACCACACAUGGCUUGGUGUCCUGUCAUGUCGUUUACACAAAGACUCUCCAUCCUUACUGCAGCCUUCUUCUGCACGUUCGCCUUUGGAGGCCCCAGGCUAGUGACAUUUCAGCGAAAGGGUUGACAAGGUCUCACUCGGUGGCGCAGGCUGGACUGCAGUAGCACCAUCAUAGUUCAUUAUACCCUUGAACUUCCACCCUCAAGCCAUCUGCCUUGGCCUCCCAAAGUGCUGGAAUUACAUGUAUGAGUCACCACAUCUGAUCCCAUUCAUUCCCUUUUUUUUCUUUCUUUCUUUCUUUUUUUUUUUUUUUUUUUUGAUGGAGUCUCACUCUGUUGUCCAGGCUGGAGUGCAGUGAGGUGAUCUCCACUCACUGCAACCUCCACUUCCCAUGUUCAAGCAAUUCUCCUGUCUCAGCCUCCCAAGUAGCUGGGAUUACAGGUGCACACUGCCAUGUCCAGUUAAUAUUUUGUAUUUUUCAGUAGAGACGGGGUUUUACCAUGUUGCCCAGGCUGGUCUCGAACUCCUGACCUCAGGUGACCCACCCGCCUCUGCCUCCCAGGGUGCUGGGAUUACAGGUGUGAGUCACCUCUCCUGGAAGGUCUGGUUCAUUCUUUAAAGGAUUUAAUGAAGGCUGAGCAAGUAGCUGGCAUUGAGCUUCAUGCAGAAGAAAGGCGGUGUGAGCCCAUACUGGGAAGGUGGCCAUCUGCAAGCCAGAAAGGGAGCCCGAACUGAAUCAGCUGGCACCUUGAUCUUGGACUUUCCAGCCUCCAGAACUGUGAGAAACAAAUUUAUCUUAUGUAAGCCACUCAGUGUAGAUAUUUUGUUGUGGCAGCCCAAGCAGAGUAAGACAAAUUAGACAGAAUAUAGCACAAAAGAAACAAGGAGUUUAGAUAGAAUUUACACUCACAGUGUCACGAGUCAUUUCAGGAUCACUUGUGCAAUUGAAGGUGUAAUGGUGUGACCUUUAACCAGUAAAUAACCCUUUGCGGCACCUCUUAGAAUAAUUGAGGCUUCAAGAAUACUCUUAACCUGAGAGUACAAUAAAUGCUCAAGAUGAAUGAAUCCCUUUUACAGCUUUUCUGUUAUUUUCUCUAAAGUCCUGAAUGGUUGAGGCUCAGAGGAGAAAGAAUUAUCUAGUUACUACAGGUAAAAAAUGCUUUAUGAAAGUUUCCUACUGAUCACAAUGAAGGAGUCACAUGUAGCUGGGUGCCUAGAACAUGGCCAUGACCUGUUGCUAUUCAAGCAAAAUAUCAAAUGUUUCCAAUAACAGCUUCAGCGACCUACCACAACUGUUUAUACUCUUGGUCUCCAAAGUAGGCCAUGAGAAAUAAAUAUUAGAGCUUCCACGUAUAUUUUUUAUUAAAAAAGAAACAGCCUCUGCAAAUAAACAGAUUGAAAUUGCUACCCUCAUUUGCCCACAGGUCAGCUGGUCUCUUUCUCUCCCUUUCAGAGGUGUCCUGAGGAAAUAUCAGGAGAUUCACAGCAUAGAGGGGCUAACAUGUGGUCUUUACACUUCUUUCAUUUCCACUGUGUUGCCUCUUAUUGAUGCUUAUGUGUGUUCACUUAAGGAACUGAAGAUUCUAUUAUCCAAUUUUAACCAAGGAAAAGUAUCAGAAUGGAAAAGUGGCUCACAAGGAUUUCUGCAGAGAAGACAGUACUGGUAAUACAAGUUUAAGCAACACAGGAAAUCAGUGUAGCUGACACGUUUCCUACUGUAUUCUUAGCCUAAUGGGAGAGGUUAGCAACACUGAUGAUCUUUCUAAUUCAGACUUAAAAGAAAUCAGCUCCUCCCUUCCAUUGAGAUAUAUGUUUACAUUUACUUUUAUUAAUGAUGAACCUUGCCUUGAAUAUAUAUAUUGUAUUUUUUUUGUUAAAAACAUUUAUUCUGAUACAUUCUAUCAUAAGUUAGUACAAAUUCCACUCUGCUACAAAUUCAUCUGUGAUGAUCCUUGUGCCAUCCAACUGGCAUUUGAACGAUGUUUCAUCUCUUGAGAUGUAGGCCAAUGAUAAUUUGAAACAUGUGGCAAGAUAUUAAUAAAUAUGAUAUGUUUCAUCAUUAAAUGAUGUUUCAAUGUUACAUGUGUGUAUGUUUUAUAGUGUACAAUGGUGGGUAUAAUAAAUAAGCAAUCCUAUUAACAAGUUAACAAAUGAAUAAAUAUUGAGAUAUAUAAUGAAUAUUUCUAACUGAUGCAGUGCAUUUUCAGAAAAGUUUGGAAACCACUGAUUUACAUAUACAGAGGUAAAAUAAUUUUUUAGAACAUAAAACCCUAGUCUUGAAGGAGAACAAAUAAAUCCAACUUUGUGUGUGUGUGUGUGUGUGUGUGUGACAAUCUCACUUUGUUGACCAGGCUAGAGUGCGGUGGUGUGACAGCUCACUGCAACCUCUGCCUCCCAGGUUCAAGAGAGUCUCAUGCCUCAGCCUCCUGAGCAGCUGGGACAACAGGCACAGCUAAUUUUUGCAUUUUUAGUAGAGACAGAGUUUCAUCAUGUUAGCCAGGCUGGUCUUGAACUCCUGGCCUCAAGUGAUCUGCCUACCUUAGCCUCCCAAAGUGCUGGGAUUACAGAUGUAAGCCACCAU